GCUGGCGGCAGGCCUAACACAUGCAAGUCGAACGGCACCUUCGGGUGUAGUGGCGGACGGGUUAGUAACGCGUGGGAACGUGCCCUUCUCUACGGAAUAGCCUCGGGAAACUGAGAGUAAUACCGUAUAAGCCCUUCGGGGGAAAGAUUUAUCGGAGAAGGAUCGGCCCGCGUAAGAUUAGAUAGUUGGUGGGGUAAUGGCCUACCAAGUCUACGAUCUUUAGCUGGUUUGAGAGGAUGAUCAGCAACACUGGGACUGAGACACGGCCCAGACUCCUACGGGAGGCAGCAGUGAGGAAUCUUGCGCAAUGGGCGAAAGCCUGACGCAGCCACGCCGCGUGCCGGAUGAAGGCCCUAUGGGUUGUAAACGGCUUUUGAGGGGGAAGAACGACCGGGUUUCGAUCUGGUGUGACGGUACCCCUUGAAUAAGCACCGGCUAACUCCGUGCCAGCAGCCGCGGUAAUACGGGAGUGGCAAGCGUUAUCCGGAAUUAUUGGGCGUAAAGCG
rnacentral:rRNA from 1 species